rnacentral:rRNA from 1 species
UAGUCCACGCCGUAAACGAUGUCUACUAGCCGUUGGGGAACUUGAUUCCUUAGUGGCGCAGCUAACGCGAUAAGUAGACCGCCUGGGGAGUACGACCGCAAGGUUAAAACUCAAAUGAAUUGACGGGGGCCCGCACAAGCGGUGGAGCAUGUGGUUUAAUUCGAUGCAACGCGAAGAACCUUACCAAGACUUGACAUCCAGAGAAUUUACUAGAGAUAGUUUAGUGCCUUCGGGAACUCUGUGACAGGUGCUGCAUGGCUGUCGUCAGCUCGUGUUGUGAAAUGUUGGGUUAAGUCCCGUAACGAGCGCAACCCUUGUCCUUAGUUGCCAGCGAGUAAUGUCGGGAACUCUAAGGAGACUGCCGGUGACAAGCCGGAGGAAGGUGGGGAUGACGUCAAAUCAGCACGGCCCUUAUGUCCAGGGCUACACACGUGCUACAAUGGCCGGUACAAUGAGCCGCGAUGCCGCGAGGUGGAGCAAAUCUCAAAAACCGGUCUCAGUUCGG